UUUCGUUCAAAGGCAAGGGUAAGAAGGCAACCAACAGCAGCAAGUAUAACUUUUAUACUGUAUCCUUUAUAAAAGAUUAAUAUUUGCUGUACAAUUAGUAAGGAAUUAGUAACAAGGUAUUCAGAGGUAAAUUUAACUUGUUAAGGACUGACCAGGAACCAUCACCAAAAGAUUUUCAUUUUAAAAGUAAUUUUGGUGUAUGAAUAAAACUGUGACACUAAUAUGAUGCUGCUGUCAUUUAUUGUAAUCACAUUGACUAAAAUAAUUGUACUUAACAUACAUUUGAAAAGAGAAAUAGUGUAAUCUGAAGACACUGGGUGGGAUGCCAGUCCAUUACAAGGCAACUUCAAUACAAAUUCCUGCACACAGCAGUUUAGCAUAGCUAAUCAAUCAAUAUGCAUGGUUUUGAUCGGUGGGUGGAAACCAGAUAACAUGGAGAAAACCUUUGCGUACAUAGAGAGAAGUCACUCAGUUUAGUUUAUCAGUAUUUAAAUUUGCACCUGGACAUUUGGAAGAUAUUCCUUGAUUCAUCUAAGGUAGUUUUAUUUGUUGACUUGCUUUGGUAUCAAAUUACUAAGAGUACAAGUUUAAGUGUUAAUAUGACCAUGUCCUCCUCUCUGCAUAGUAUUGUCCACAUGUCCUCGUGGAGGCCGGAGGAAGCUCCUUCCUGUGUAAGCGAUGUCUGUUUCAUGGAAAACGUUCAGCGAUUUAAGUAAGCAGAUAAAGGUGUAGUGCCAGCGUUGGUGCGUUCUGGUGUGACUCUGAUAGCACUUUCCUCUUGCUUAUCUGGCGGUCCCAUAUCUGUCCAUCCACACUCACCCCACCCAAGCUGAAGAACCUGCAGCCAUCACAUGCAACUGGGGGUCACUCCCAAUGUCAGCCUAAAGUCCUGUUAAUGAAGGGUGCAGAGAUGUGUUUUACUGAUCUGAGGACCUACAAAAGAAAAAUGGGUCAAAAAGUGAUAAGAUGUCAAGAUGUUUUAUGUCAAUACUUUACUAAAUGAAUUAUUAGCCUAAACUCAUUAGUUUUUGGUGUGUAUUUUAGACCUUUAGGUUGUAGGUAGCAUCUAAUGAUUGCAGUUUACGGCUUUAGGUGGUGUCUCGGGUGUUGGUCAACUGACAGGAAAAAGGGCUGAACAAUAAGAUAACAAUAGAGGAAAAAAACCAAAAACAAACUAAUACCCAUUAUUCAACCUCCUCCCAAAUUCUUGAUUCUCUCAAUUUAAUCAGGAAAAGCUGUAUGGUUCUUCUAGUCACAAAAGAAGCCCAACAUAGGAUGCUCUCCUAUUGUGAAACUCAAUGUUGUACUGUUUGACAAAGAACCUGCAGAUAUUCCUCCACAGCAAAAUUCCAACUUGUUUUGAAAGGUUGUAGAUAAAACUGUAUGCAGCCCCUGAGCAACUAUACUGUAUACUCACUAUAUAUGCAGUUCCUUCACAUUUCAAUAAAGAGAGAAAAAUGUUGGUGAAGGAAAGAAAAAAAAAGACCAAAUACAUUUCUUGCUUGCUGCAGAACUCAAUAAGAAGAACUCAGAAGAGCAACAUUAAAAACACAAAUGUAUAUGUAAUUAAAAAAGUAGUUGCAUUAUGAAAAGCAAUUCACUGCAUGUCAUUGUGAAACAUGUUGCAGUGUAGGCACAGAAAAUAUUCAGCUUUGGAGGUCAAAUGUAUCUAUACAGCCACAGACAAACAUAUCUAAUAAACUGACUUAUUACAAUAUAGUUUGUUUUUUUGGUCCAAUUCCAGGUUUAACUGGAGCGAUAUGAAGGCGUGGCCGUCCACAUGUACAAGCACCCUAAAGUCAGGAGUUACUGUUUAGUGGGUGAUAGAGGACAGGAAUCUGAUUGGUUGAAAGGCGAGACAGGAGAGCUCAGAUAAGCUCAAGAGAACCACUGUGUCAUCACCAUAUGCAAAUGAGUAAAGGUCAUUAAAAUGCUGAGGGAAGGGGGAUUUUCGACAGAUCUCUUGAGGGACAGAAAGGAGACACAGAGCCGGCAGACGAAUAGAAAGGAAGAAAAAGACGACAGCGAAGGUGUCAAGUGGGUGUCAUUAGGCUACGUAUUGACACCUACUUCAAGGGGACUGGAAACAAGUAACCUUAAGCUCGUCUUCACAACAAGAACAUCUGAUGGUCAUCAAUAGUGACGUUUUUUUAUUUGGGUGCCUCGAAGGAAGGAAUUGGCAACCUUGACGGGAGUAUAGCUAAUAGCAAAUGGUAUAUACGAUGAAUAUGAUCAAUACUGUAUGUACUAUGGCUCAAUAAACACAUCCGCCUGGAUCAAUAACUCUCCACAUUAAAUAAAAUAUGGAUUUGAAGCAGA